CUAAGAAUCUUGCGCAAUGGGCGAAAGCCUGACGCAGCAAUUCCGCGUGGAGGACGAAGGCCCUCGGGUCGUAAACUCCUUUUGCGAGGGAAGAAGUUCUGACGGUACCUCGCGAAUAAGCCACGGCUAACUACGUGCCAGCAGCCGCGGUAAUACGUAGGUGGCGAGCGUUGUCCGGAUUUAUUGGGCGUAAAGAGCCCGCAGGCGGCUUGGCAAGUUUCGAGUGAAAUCUCCCGGCUCAACUGGGAGGGCGCUCGGAAAACUGCCAGGCUUGAGGCAGGGAGAGGGAUGUGGAAUUCCCGGUGUAGUGGUGAAAUGCGUAGAUAUCGGGAGGAACACCAGUGGCGAAGGCGGCAUCCUGGCCCUGUCCUGACGCUCAGGGGCGAAAGCGUGGGGAGCAAACCGG
rnacentral:rRNA from 1 species